rnacentral:rRNA from 1 species
AUUGAACGCUGGCGGCAUGGCUAAAACAUGCAAGUCGAACGUGCCCGCAAGGGCAAGUGGCGAAAGGGUCAGUAACGCGAUCGAAUGUACCUAUGGGUUGAGGAUAGCCGUGGGAAACUGCGGGUAAUACUCGAUGAUGUCUCCGGACCAAAGAUUUAUCGCCCUAAGAGCAGCGAUCGUCCUAUCAGGUAGUUGGCGGGGUAAAGGCCCACCAAGCCUAAGACGGGUAGCAGGUGUGAGAGCACGACCUGCGACAUCGGGACUGAGACACUGCCCGGACUCCUACGGGAGGCUGCAGUAACGAAUCUUCCGCAAUGGGCGCAAGCCUGACGGAGCAAUGCCGCGUGUGGGAUGAAGCGGCUACGCCGUGUAAACCACUGUCAGGGGCUAGAACCAAUGAUCAGCCCCAAAGGAAGAGCCGGCUAACCCUGUG